rnacentral:rRNA from 1 species
AUUGAACGCUGGCGGCGUGCCUAAUACAUGCAAGUCGAACGGAGUGGCGCACGGGUGAGUAAUGUAUAGCUAAUCUGCCCUACACUAGAGGACAACAGUUGGAAACGACUGUUAAUACUCUAUAGUGUAGGAUGAGGCUAUAUUGUAUCGGCUAGUUGGUGAGGUAAUGGCUAGCCAAGGAUAUGACGCAUAACUGGUCGGAGAGGAUGAGCAGUCACACUGGAACGGAGGGACGGUGUGGACUCCGACGGGAGGCAGCAGUAGGGAAUAUUGCGCAAUGGGGGAAGCACUGAGGCAGCAACGCGGCGUGGAGGAUGAUACUUUUGGGAGCAUAAAGUCAUUUUGAUAGGGAAGCGGUACCUAACGAAUAAGCAUCGGCUAACUCCGUGCCAGCAGCCGCGGUAAUAC